rnacentral:rRNA from 1 species
UGGCCGGAUUUCACACAGGUGUUGCAUGGCUGUCGUCAGCUCGUGUCGUGAGAUGUUGGGUUAAGUCCCGCAACGAGCGUAACCCUCAUCCUUAGUUACCAUCAGAUAAUGCUGGGGACUUUAAGGAAACUGCUAGUGAUAAACUGGAGGAAGGUGGGGAUGAUGUCAAGUCAUCAUGGCCCUUAUGGAGUGGGCUACACACGUGCUACAAUGGUGGCUACAAUGGGCUGCAAAGUCGCGAGGCUGAGCUAAUCUCUUAAAAGCCAUCUCAGUUCGGAUUGUACUCUGCAACUCGAGUGCAUGAAGUUGGAAUCGCUAGUAAUCGUGGAUCAGCAUGCCACGGUGAAUACGUUCUCGGGUCUUGUACACACUGCCC